GCUUGUCACAGUGCAGCUCACUCAGUGUGGCAAAGGUGCCCUUGAGGUUGUCCAGGUGAGCCAGGCCAUCACUAAAGGCACCGAGCACUUUCUUGCCAUGAGCCUUCACCUUAGGGUUGUCCAGGUGAGCCAGGCCAUCACUAAAGGCACCUAGCACCUUCUUGCCAUGAGCCUUCACCUUAGGGUUGCCCAUAACAGCAUCAGGAGAGGACAGAUCCCCAAAGGACUCAAAGAACCUCUGGGUCCAUGGGUAGACAACCAGGAGA
rnacentral:lncRNA from 1 species